UACGUAGGGGGCCAGCGUUGUCCGGAAUCAUUGGGCGUAAAGCGCGCGUAGGCGGCCAGAUAAGUCCGGUGUGAAAGUCAAAGGCUCAACCUUUGAAUGCCGCUGGAAACUGCCUGGCUUGAGUCCGGAAGGGGCGAGUGGAAUUCCUGGUGUAGCGGUGAAAUGCGCAGAUAUCAGGAGGAACACCAAUUGCGAAGGCAGCUCGCUGGGACGUUACUGACGCUGAGACGCGAAAGCGUGGGGAGCAAACAGG
rnacentral:rRNA from 1 species